GAUGAACGCUGGCGGCGUGCCUAACACAUGCAAGUCGAACGGGGUUCUAUGUCGGAAGUUUUCGGAUGGAAGAGAUAGAACCCAGUGGCGGACGGGUGAGUAACACGUGGGUAACCUGCCUCAUAGAGGGGGAUAACAGAGAGAAAUCACUGCUAAUACCGCAUAAGCACACGGGAUCGCAUGAUCCAGGGUGAAAAGAUUUAUCGCUAUGAGAUGGACUCGCGUCUGAUUAGCUGGUUGGCGGGGUAAAGGCCCACCAAGGCGACGAUCAGUAGCCGAUCUGAGAGGAUGGCCGGCCACAUUGGGACUGAGACACGGCCCAGACUCCUACGGGAGGCAGCAGUGGGGGAUAUUGCACAAUGGAGGGAACUCUGAUGCAGCAACGCCGCGUGAGUGAAGAAGUAUUUCGGUAUGUAAAGCUCUAUCAGCAGGGAAGAUAAUGACAGUACCUGAAUAAGAAGCCCCGGCUAACUACGUGCCAGCAGCCGCGGUAAUACGUAGGGGGCAAGCGUUAUCCGGAUUUACUGGGUGUAAAGGGAGCGUAGACGGCGAAGCAAGUCUGAAGUGAAAAUCCGGGGCUCAACUCCGGAAGUGCUUUGGAAACUGUUUUGAUAGAGUGUCGGAGAGGUAAGUGGAAUUCCUGGUGUAGCGGUGAAAUGCGUAGAUAUCAGGAAGAACACCGGAGGCGAAAGCGGCUUACUGGACGAUAACUGACGUUGAGGCUCGAAAGCGUGGGAAGCAAACAGG
rnacentral:rRNA from 1 species